rnacentral:rRNA from 1 species
AUGGUGCGGGGGAAGACGCAGAUGAAGCGGAUAGAGAACCCGACGAGCCGGCAGGUGACCUUCUCCAAGCGCCGCGGCGGCCUGCUGAAGAAGGCCUUCGAGCUCUCCGUCCUCUGCGACGCCGAGGUCGCGCUCGUCGUCUUCUCCCCCCGCGGCAGGCUCUACGAAUUCGCCAGCUCCAGCAUGAAGAACACAAUUGAACGUUAUAAGACAGUCACAAAGGAUAAUUUGGGCAGACAGACGGUACAGCAAGAUAUAGAGAAAGUAAAAGCUGAUGCUGAGGGCUUGUCAAAGAAGCUUGAUGCUCUUGAAGCUUGCAAAAGCAAACUUUUGGGCCAAAAUUUGGAAGAAUGCUCUAUUGAAGAACUGCAAAGCUUAGAGGUCAAAAUUGAAAGAAGCCUUCUAGGCAUCAGGGCAAUGAAGACUCGGCGGUUCGAAGAGCAGCUCUCUACGUUGAGGCAGAAGGAGAUGAAGUUGCGGCAGGACAAUGAAGAACUAUAUAGCCAGUGCCAGAAGGAACAGCACUCUGCGUUGGAGGCGGCCGCGCCCCCUGCUCCGGCGACCUUGGCGGCGCUCCCUGCUCCAGUGACCCUGGCGGAGCAGGGCCAGCAGGUGGUGGAUGUGGAGACGGAUCUAUUUCUUGGAUUGCCCGGCACCGGCCGCUCCUGA